UACGUAGGGGGCAAGCGUUGUCCGGAUUUAUUGGGCGUAAAGAGCGUGUAGGCGGCCUGAAAGGUCAGCUGUGAAAACUCGAGGCUCAACCUCGAGACGUCGGUUGAAACCAUCUGGCUAGAGUCCGGAAGAGGAGAGUGGAAUUCCCGGUGUAGCGGUGAAAUGCGCAGAUAUCGGGAAGAACACCCGUGGCGAAGGCGGCUCUCUGGAACGGUACUGACGCUGAGACGCGAAAGCGUGGGGAGCGAACAGG
rnacentral:rRNA from 1 species